rnacentral:rRNA from 1 species
GACGCACGCUGGCGGCGUGCUUAACACAUGCAAGUCGAACGGAAAGGCCCUGCUUUUGUGGGGUGCUCGAGUGGCGAAAGGGUGAGUAACACGUGAGUAACCUGCCCUUGACUUUGGGAUAACUUCAGGAAACUGGGGCUAAUACCGGAUAGGAGCUCCUGCUGCAUGGUGGGGGUUGGAACGUUCCGGCGGUUGGGGAUGGACUCGCGGCUUAUCCGCUGGUUGGUGGGGUAGUGGCUUACCAGGGCUGUGACGGGUAGCCGGCCUGAGAGGGUGACCGGCUACGCUGCGCCUGGGAUAUCGCCCAGAAUCCGACGGGAGGAAGAAGGGGGGAAGGUGGCUGAAUGGGCGGCCGGUCGCGGCAGCAACCCCGCGUGCGGGAUGACGGCUUUUCGGGGGCGAGCCGCUUUCGCCUGUAAGGGAGCGGGCGGUCAGGUAAUUGGUACAGAAUCACCUUCUAACUACGUG